GGUAGUAAUGCCUAGGAAUCUGCCUGGUAGUGGGGGACAACGUUUCGAAAGGAACGCUAAUACCGCAUACGUCCUACGGGAGAAAGCAGGGACCUUCGGGCCUUGCGCUAUCAGAUGAGCCUAGGUCGGAUUAGCUAGUUGGUGAGGUAAUGGCUCACCAAGGCGACGAUCCGUAACUGGUCUGAGAGGAUGAUCAGUCACACUGGAACUGAGACACGGUCCAGACUCCUACGGGAGGCAGCAGUG
rnacentral:rRNA from 1 species